UGGGAAAAAAAUGCAAAAAGUAUAUUCCGGUACCGGGAAUCGAACCCGAGCCUCCUGGGUGAAAGCCAGGUAUCCUAGCCACUAGACCAUACCGGAGUCAUGAAAACUAUAUCUUUACAGACGCUAAAUAAAUUCAACUAUACAUUUAUGAAAUUGUCAAGUUUAAUUGCAGUAAGGACGUCAAGAUUUUAUACCUGCUAGAGCUAUCUUCAGACAUGGAAUUUCACUAUAGCAUCAAUUUAUAAUACUUAUUAUCAGAAUGUGGUUAGUUGCAUGAUAUCCAAUAAUAUAUAGAACUACAAACUGAAGUAAACUACGGCAACUACAAGAUACACAAUUUUAAAUACUGAAAUUUACGGUACUUAUGUUAUUUGAUACCUGAAUAUAUCGUGGAAUAUGGAUCUUCUAACAAAUUUAUAAAUGACUGUUAGAUCACAUUAAGAAUUGGAUUUAUUGAAAAUUUGAAAAGGAAAGAACUUUCUGUUCCACUUAAUCACAACGAAUGUUUAUGAAAACUCAAGAAAAAUAGGAUAAUCAACUUAAUUUUAAACAAAACAAGGUAAGACUACUGAAAAUUAAAAAUGGGCAUAUAUUCCAAUAUUGAUCAAUCCAGUUGCCAAAAUCGCAGAUUAGAUAACAGCUAUUCUACUGAUUUCAAAAUAAUGCAGUUUAUAAUUUUUUUUUUUUUUUGUAUAAUGUAUUUCAACAACU